rnacentral:rRNA from 1 species
UACGGAGGAUGCGAGCGUUAUCCGGAUUUAUUGGGUUUAAAGGGUGCGUAGGCGGACUGUCAAGUCAGCGGUAAAAUUGAGAGGCUCAACCUCUUCCCGCCGUUGAAACUGGUGGUCUUGAGUGGAUGAGAAGUACGCGGAAUGCGUGGUGUAGCGAUGAAAUGCAUAGAUAUCACGCAGAACUCCGAUUGCGAAGGCAGCGUACCGGCAUCCAACUGACGCUGAGGCACGAAAGCGUGGCGAUCAAACAGG